AUUGAACGCUGGCGGCAGGCCUAACACAUGCAAGUCGAGCGGAUGAAGGGAGCUUGCUCUCUGAUUUAGCGGCGGACGGGUGAGUAAUGCCUAGGAAUCUGCCUGGUAGUGGGGGAUAACGUUCCGAAAGGAACGCUAAUACCGCAUACGUCCUACGGGAGAAAGCGGGGGAUCUUCGGACCUCGCGCUAUCAGAUGAGCCUAGGUCGGAUUAGCUAGUUGGUGAGGUAAAGGCUCACCAAGGCGACGAUCCGUAACUGGUCUGAGAGGAUGAUCAGUCACACUGGAACUGGGACACGGUCCAGACUCCUACGGGAGGCAGCAGUGGGGAAUAUUGGACAAUGGGCGAAAGCCUGAUCCAGCCAUGCCGCGUGUGUGAAGAAGGUCUUCGGAUUGUAAAGCACUUUAAGUUGGGAGGAAGGGUUGUAGAUUAAUACUCUGCAAUUUUGACGUUACCGACAGAAUAAGCACCGACUAACUUCGUGCCAGCCGCCGCCGUAAAAC
rnacentral:rRNA from 1 species